GGAAAGUAGGUCUCAAGCUCUUCCCAUAACGACUUAAGUGCAGUGAAAAACUCAGAAACAGAGAUUCUUGCUUAAGCGAAAAAAAUUUCACAUUGAAGUUCAGAGAUACGAAUGUAAUAACCUUGAGAAUCUUUCUUUGUGUUCGUUCCAAACAUCCAAAGCAUUUUCAUGAAAAAUAACGCUUUGAACAAUUGAAUCUUCAACUGAAUUGAGG
rnacentral:lncRNA from 1 species